AGUGAACGCUGGCGGCAGGCCUAACACAUGCAAGUCGAGCGGCAGCGGGUCCUUCGGGAUGCCGGCGAGCGGCGGACGGGUGAGGAAUGCGUCGGAAUCUGCCUUUCUGUGGGGGAUAACGUAGGGAAACUUACGCUAAUACCGCAUACGACCUACGGGUGAAAGUGGGGGACCGCAAGGCCUCACGCAGAAAGAUGAGCCGACGUCGGAUUAGCUAGUUGGCGGGGUAAAGGCCCACCAAGGCGACGAUCCGUAGCUGGUCUGAGAGGAUGAUCAGCCACACUGGAACUGAGACACGGUCCAGACUCCUACGGGAGGCAGCAGUGGGGAAUAUUGGACAAUGGGCGCAAGCCUGAUCCAGCCAUGCCGCGUGUGUGAAGAAGGCCUUCGGGUUGUAAAGCACUUUUGUCUGGAAAGAAAUCCUGUCGGCUAAUACCCGGCGGGGAUGACGGUACCGGAAGAAUAAGCACCGGCUAACUUCGUG
rnacentral:rRNA from 1 species